rnacentral:rRNA from 1 species
ACGGGUGAGUAAUGCCUAGGAAUCUGCCUGGUAGUGGGGGAUAACGUUCGGAAACGGACGCUAAUACCGCAUACGUCCUACGGGAGAAAGCAGGGGACCUUCGGGCCUUGCGCUAUCAGAUGAGCCUAGGUCGGAUUAGCUAGUUGGUGAGGUAAUGGCUCACCAAGGCAACGAUCCGUAACUGGUCUGAGAGGAUGAUCAGUCACACUGGAACUGAGACACGGUCCAGACUCCUACGGGAGGCAGCAGUGGGGAAUAUUGGACAAUGGGCGAAAGCCUGAUCCAGCCAUGCCGCGUGUGUGAAGAAGGUCUUCGGAUUGUAAAGCACUUUAAGUUGGGAGGAAGGGCAUUAACCUAAUACGUUAGUGUUUUGACGUUACCGACAGAAUAAGCACCGGCUAACUCUGUGCCAGCAGCCGCGGUAAUACAGAGGGUGCAAGCGUUAAUCGGAAUUACUGGGCGUAAAGCGCGCGUAGGUGGUUUGUUAAGUUGGAUGUGAAAUCCCCGGGCUCAACCUGGGAACUGCAUUCAAAACUGACUGACUAGAGUAUGGUAGAGGGUGGUGGAAUUUCCUGUGUAG